rnacentral:siRNA from 1 species
ACGUAGUGUCACAAAACCUCAACUA